GGUAAUACAGUAGGGCGCAAGCGUUAUCCGGAAUUAUUGGGCGUAAAGAGCUCGUAGGCGGUUUGUCGCGUCUGCUGUGAAAUCCCGAGGCUCAACCUCGGGCCUGCAGUGGGUACGGGCAGACUAGAGUGCGGUAGGGGAGAUUGGAAUUCCUGGUGUAGCGGUGGAAUGCGCAGAUAUCAGGAGGAACACCGAUGGCGAAGGCAGAUCUCUGGGCCGUAACUGACGCUGAGGAGCGAAAGGGUGGGGAGCAAACAGGCUUAGAUACCCUGGUAGUCCACCCCGUAAACGUUGGGAACUAGUUGUGGGGACCAUUCCACGGUUUCCGUGACGCAGCUAACGCAUUAAGUUCCCCGCCUGGGGAGUACGGCCGCAAGGCUAAAACUCAAAGGAAUUGACGGGGACCCGCACAAGCGGCGGAGCAUGCGGAUUAAUUCGAUGCAACGCGAAGAACCUUACCAAGGCUUGACAUAUACGAGAACGGGCCAGAAAUGGUCAACUCUUUGGACACUCGUAAACAGGUGGUGCAUGGUUGUCGUCAGCUCGUGCUGUGA
rnacentral:rRNA from 1 species